rnacentral:rRNA from 1 species
AUUGAACGCUGGCGGCAGGCUUAACACAUGCAAGUCGAGCGAGCGGCGGACGGGUGCGUAAUGUCUGGGAAACUGCCUGAUGGAGGGGGAUAACUACUGGAAACGGUAGCUAAUACCGCAUACCAUCAGAUGUGCCCAGAUGGGAUUAGCUAGUAGGUGGGGUAAUGGCUCAACUAGGCGACGAUCCCUAGCUGGUCGGAGAGGAUGACCAGCCACACUGGAAUUGAGACACGGUCCAGACUCCUCCGGGAGGCAGCAGUGGGGAAUAUUGCACAAUGGGCGCAAUCCUGAUGCAGCCAGUACGCGUGUGUGAAGAAGGCAUUUGGGUUGUAAAGCACUUUCAGCCAGUAGGGGUUACCGGCAGAAGAAGCCCCGGCUAACUCCGUGCAAGCCGCCGCGGUAAUAC